GUAAACCCUGAACCAGUAGUUUUAGAAGAUAGUGAUCUCUUACUAGAACAAUAUCUUUCGCCAGGUAAACUAAGACUUCUGACUGGGGUUGAUAAUUUAGAUGACAUUUAUCGCCUGGAAUUAAAAGUCGACACAAAAGAAACAAGCUUGGGAAAUUUCGGUUCCCUGCUACCAAACUUAACACAACUGAAACUAUCAAAUAGUAACAUCCCAUGCAUUCGCGACUUAGGUUCUAGUUUAAGAAAUGUUACCGUUUUAUGGAUGUCACGUUGUGGCUUAUACGAAUUGGAUGGAAUAUCAUCUAUGCUAAGUCUAAAAGAACUAUACUUGUCAUACAAUGAAAUCUGUGAUAUAAGUGCUCUAAGCAUGCUGGACUCGCUACAAAUUUUAGACUUAGAAGGAAACAACAUCGAUGAUACCCAACAGAUUCAUUAUCUUGCUAUGUGUUCAAACCUCUCCAGUCUGACAUUGGAAGGGAAUCCUGUGUGUGUAUUACCUACACCAGACAGUAGUGAAACAGAGGACUAUGACUACAGGUGGACUGUCAAAAACAUCAUAGCUCAUCUUAAGAUAUUAGAUGAAGAAGCACUUAAUUUAGAACCAUCACCCUCAAAGAAAAAGAAUGUAUUUGAUGAUGACUGGGCCUAUUUGGAGGAAUUGCAGAGAGAUGUAGGAAUAGGUGGCUCAACAGAAAGUCUUAAUUCACUAGACAGUCCUACAGAGACUGUAGGCAGACCAGGCACUGCGUCCCUGCGCCUACGACUGGUACCGCCCAGGCUCUGCCCUCAGACCCUCCUCAGGGUUCAGACCCCUCACAGCAUCCAGGAGACCUGCUACUACUUCUGGGGAAACGUCAGACCUUUAACUGCAGAGAAAGCUAGCAGGGAGGAAAGUUCAGAGGAUAAAAAUAUUACAGAGGAUGCCUCGAGUGAACUUACCAUGGGAACAGUUGUUUGUGGAAAUCCAUCCAAAGCCCUCUUCUCGCGGCGAAAAAUCAAUCCAGGCAGUCAAAAUACAAAUGAAUCCACUGGACUAAAGCUGUUUCCUCAAUUUCUACACAAACCUGAGCACACAUAUGAUCCUGUCCCAGAUGAUGACAAGGAGAGAGCAGACAUAGUGGCGGAACUAAAGGAGUGGAAACAACAUCAUGAAAAGAUGAUGGAGAAGAUCAAAGCGGAGAAAGCUCCCCAGGUGUUGGUAAUUGAUCAUGACGAUGCGAUCAGCAUAUCUGGUGAUGAGGAAGUGACAGAUGAAGAGGAUGAUGAUGAUGAUGAUUUACCCUCGGGUUUAACUUCUCUGGAUUUCUGUGAAAGGCCACUCAGAGAGAACCAGUCCGGUGGUAAUGGCCGACCUGUCAGUGCUGAUAGGCCAAGCAGCAAGGAACGAAGUGUCAGCUCUAGUCCUCUACUGGAUCUCCCACCACCACCAACCCCACCCAAAGUGUUGGGCAAUGUUCGUGAACCUCCAUCUGGUGAACUCCAGGAGGGAAUCAUUGAGGCCCUCAAGAUAGAGGGUCUGACAGCAGACAGCAAGAAGAAAGAGGAACCAGAGGAGCCCCAGGAAACACCAGAGAGCCUCCAGCUGAAGACCCGUCUGGAGAACCACGCCCUCAAUCCUCACCGUCCCUGUCCCCCCAUCAAGCCUCUUGGGAGGUUUACCACGGACGGGCCAGUCAUGCCCCGUGCUCCCCCACCCUCAGCAGUGGCCAGAAACAUGCUGAGUAAAAGCAUGGCUGUCCCGGCAAGAAGGACCAGUCCAAACAAUCCAGAUGCCGGCACUGCGGUGAUCGCUGCGUCUGCGUCCGCUGAUCGCCCAGUUCUCCAGAACCGUCCCUUCACGGCACGGGCCGUGCUAUCUCAAGUCCGCAGGCAGUUGCCACAGGUUCCAACUCUACCCUCAAAACCAAGCUUUCCCAAAUGAGAACUUGUUAUUUAUUUUUGGCAAAAAAUUAUUUCUGGUUCUUCUGGUUUCUUCCUGGCUUAAAUUGUCUUUCAUUUUAUUUGCUAGCUGAUGCAUUUACAUGUAUAAAUUCAUAUUUUGGCCAAUUUAUUAAUAAUAUAAUGGAUUGAUAAUCUGUCUUGGACUAACAAGUACAUACACAUGUUUAUAACUAUUCUGAUGCGAGGUAAUGUGCCUUCAAUUUGCUUGCAUGAGAAUCAACUAAAUUGUUUCAUGAAAUAAAUCUACAUA
rnacentral:misc_RNA from 1 species